UAAUGUGUAGUGUAAAAGCUUGCCUUCAUUCAUUAGAGAUGCCAUCAACAUAUAGUGUACAAAGAUAUGAUGUUGGACUUAAGAAACAAUCUAGAUGAGAUCAAAUAUUGCCAUAAGACCUAAGUUAUGCCAACUAUACAAUAUAAGAUAAUAUCAUAUAUUUCUAUCUUAACAACCUCAAAGGGCCUGAAAUCGUGGGAUCACGGCCAUUGGGAACAAUUCUCAUAUAGCCGGGGUUAUCGCGGUGAUGUUGUAGCGGUUCAAGCUGAGAAAUCUGUUUGCAAUUUGGUUCUUCUCUUUCCUCAAGAUGCUGCUUGCUCUUGUUGAUCGAAUCUGUUUCUGAAGCGGCUGUUAGGUUUUCACCCCUCCAUAGAAAUAGCUUUUGAGGUUAAAUUAUUUUCUUUUUAUUAUUAAAUCAUUGAAUAUGUGACUUUCUUAUUUUUUUUCUCCAUUGAAGAAGCUUCCGAGCUUUUUCCGAUUAAAGUAAAUUCUGAGCUUUCCCCUUUAUUGAAGCAGCUUACAAGGUAAUGUGUUUUUCAAUCAUCAAGUUUCCAUUUUAAAAUCGGAUUUACUCUUUGUGAAUUAUUAUCAGAUUUAAUUCGAUCUAAUUUGAGAAAAAAAUGGAAACCAAUUUUAUUAAUAUUUGUGGGUUGAAUAUUUUAGGGUUCAAUUUGAUCGAAAAUUACCCUUGUCUUCUCUUUUUUAUUUUUUUUAUUUCUACUUUUGAUUUUGUUUUUCUUUUUUUUUAAUAAUGUAUUUGUGCUUUUCCCUAUAUCUUGGCUUCCUGUUCCACCAUUCAUAUGAGGCGAUGGUGCUUUCUUGCUCUGCUUAAUACGGGGGAAACUAUAUAAGUAAUCCAACUUAAUUUUUGCUCUGCUUUAACCAAUGAGCCUGGAAUCCUUCACUUGGUUUUUGCAGAAAAAUCCAAAUUUCAAGUUUUUCUGAUGAGAAUUUAAGUUUUAAAGCUUGCCUUCUAAUCCCUUGUAUUUCAUCUGGUGGAGACGUUGAGUCAAGGAAAGCAAAAGGAGAAGGUGAACGCAAAAUUGAUUUUGUUUUUUUUUUAAAAAAAAGCUAAAUGGAUUAUAAUUUUAAAUAUUUACUCAAUCUUGUAUAAUGCAUAUGCUUACAUUCUAUGAUUUAAAUUCUUUCUUGUGGCUCUGUGUGUUGUUGGCUUGUUGCUUGCAAAUACGGAGUAUAUAUUGUGGGCCAUCGGAAAUGAAGUACCAUAGGCUUUUGUGCUAUGACAUAUAAUUCAUGGCUGAAUUGUGAGCUGAUUAGAAUAAUGGGAACCGAGUAACCAAAUAUUUCCCAAUAUAGCAAAACAGAAAACUCUUUAAUUUUCAAUACAAGGGUUGAGUUCAUGAAUGGUGAUAUAAAGUCGGUUUUAACUAUAAAAAACAUAAACAUGGACUACAUGGUUAAUUAUUUAUCAAUUAAUUGAGUAAAGUAAGAAGGAUUGAAAGAUGGUGCAUAAGGCCUACCUGAGCUUUAUAUAAACUCAUCGUUCCUUCCUGAAUUAAGCAAGCUUCUGGAUUUUUCCUUCCUGCAUUGCAUAAUGUUUUUAUCAGAUUGCGUGAUUUUAAAGAAUAAUUUAGCAAUUGAUUAGUUUCGAACACUGAGCAUCACUCUCGAAUCUGGUUUCAAUAAGCUUUGCCUUGAAACCGAUUGCCUUAAGCUCUACUCUUGCUUGGUGAAGUCGGAUGCUAGUCCUUCUGUUUUUGGGUCGAUUGUUCUUGAUAUUUUAAAGAUUUCUAGUUCUUGUUUAUCUUGUUCUUGUUCUUUUGUUAAGAGGGAAGGAAAUCGAGUUGCCCAUAGUCUAGCUUCUUUAUGUAAUAGCUAUGGGGAGCUUAUGGUUUGGAUGUAAGAUGCUCCUGCUGCUGCUUUGGAGCUUGUAAUGGCUGAGAAAUGCAAGACUUUUAUUAAGAAGAGAGAAAGCUAAUAUCAGCCAUUACAAGCUCCAAAGCAGCAUCAGGAGCAUCUUAUAUCCAAACCAUAAGCUCCCCAUAGCUAUUACAUAGAGAAGCUAGACUAUGGGCAACUCGAUUUCCUUCCCUCUUAACAAAAGAAAAAGAACAAGAUAAACAAGAACUAGAAAGCUUUAAAAUAUAUCAUGAACAAUCGACCCAAAAACAGAAGGACUAGCAUCCGACUUCACCAAGCAAGAGUAGAGCUUAAGGCAAUCGGUUUCAAGGCAAAGCUUAUUGAAACCAGAUUUGAGAGUGAUGCUCAGUGUUCGAAACUAAUCAAUUGCUAAAUUAUUCUUUAAAAUCACGCAAUAUGAUGAAAACAUUAUGCAAUGCAGGAAGGAAAAAUCCAGAAGCUUGCUUAAUUCAGGAAGGAACGAUGAGUUUAUAUAAAGCUCAGGUAGGCCUUAUGCAUCAUCUUUCAAUACUUCUUACUUUACUCAAUUAAUUGAUAAAUAAUUAACCAUGUAGUCCAUGUUUAUGUUUUUUAUAGUUAAAACCGACUUUAUAUCACCAUUCAUGAACUCAACCCUUGUAUUAAAAAUAAAAGAGUUUUCAGUUUUGCUAUAUUGGGAAAUAUUUAUUUUCACUUUGUUGGACAUUAGUCGAAGUAUCUUAUUUUAACUAUUAGGAUUCAAUAAUUCAAUUAAAAAGUAAAACUUUUUAUUCCCACAAUCAUUCUAAAUUGUUGGGAAUUACCUACUUAUUUUGCCUCAAUGAUUAACCUCCCAUAUUCUUGUUGUUUAUUCCUAUGGCUCAUUGACUUGGUACAUAUUGUCGGUCAUUGGGAUUUCAAAAUUGAAUGACUUUGGGUUUAGGGUACAAGUGGUUGUUGGACAUUUAAAUAUCUAUCCAUCAUGUUUUCUUCUUGCUCUUGAUCUUCUUCCAUCAUGUUUUCUUCCAUAUUGUCGGACAUUGGGAUCUUCCACUUUGCUUGCUCACUAUAUAUUUUUAUCAAACUAAUGAUCAUUCUAUUAUUUGUUGUAUUAUUGUUGCUAGUUCGAAGGAUGUCAUGGAACUUUCUCCCCAGAAGUUAAGGCUGAAGAGUUAGCUAACUUGAGAGAAAAUUGUUUCAAUCUAAGCAACGCUGAGAUGUUCGGUGUUCUUCCUGACUUACUCGACUUAGCUUCAACAAUGCCAAAGGCUUGGAUAAAUCAAAGAUUGAUUACAUCUAUUCAUCAUAUUAUUUGUUGACCCAAAUUGAAAACGUUAUUCGUGAUGAUGACAAAGACAAGUUUGUUGUAUUUUUGAACGCAAAUCAUGAAUUAAUUCAUGACUUCCCCACCGUGGAGGUCUUUGCUUUACUAUGCUAGAACAAUGCUCUAGCGUGUAUCUCCGCAUUACUCGAGUCUCCUCUUUGAGCUGAUGUUGAUGUCAACCGUUUUCAUAUCAGUGAGGCAUCUAUUUCGUUGGAGGUAGUCGCUUUUAAGUUAUCUUUACCCCUAACUCAAACUUUCCUAGUACAUGGAGCUGAUGCUAAUGUCGUGGUUUCCAUACAUCCAUACUUGGUAGUGCACUCAUAACAUUAAGGUAUCACAAACGUGUCAGAGAAUGGACUGUCAAACACGAUACAACAACCCUGAUUCUCACAUUGUGCGAUUCAGACAUGGUAUCAAAUAUUUUUGUUCAUUAUAAUGAUUUGGAGCUAGUUUUUAUUUUUUGUUGAAGAAAUUUGGUAGCAUUUUUCACUAUUGUUAUCUUCUAUUAUUUAAUACAUGUUAUUCGUUGCAUAAAGAAGUUGUUACUACUCUGCUGGAUUUUCAUAAGAAAGAUGUUAAAAGUGUUCUAUCACUACUUAUUGAUGGAAGGAACUUCAUUGAGAUGAUC